UAGGGAAUCUUCGGCAAUGGGGGGAACCCUGACCGAGCAACGCCGCGUGAGUGAAGAAGGUUUUCGGAUCGUAAAGCUCUGUUGUUAAGGAAGAACGAGUGUGAGAAUGGAAAGUUCAUACUGUGACGGUACUUAACCAGCAAGUCACGGCUAACUACGUGCCAGCAGCCGCGGUAAUACGUAGGUGGCAAGCGUUGUCCGGAUUUAUUGGGCGUAAAGGGAACGCAGGCGGUCUUUUAAGUCUGAUGUGAAAGCCUUCGGCUUAACCGGAGUAGUGCAUUGGAAACUGGAAGACUUGAGCGCAGAAGAGGAGAGUGGAACUCCAUGUGUAGCGGUGAAAUGCGUAGAUAUAUGGAGGAACACCGGUGGCGAAAGCGGCUCUCUGGUCUGUAACUGACGCUGAGGCUCGAAAGCGUGGGGAGCGAACAGGAUUAGAUACCCUGGUAGUCCACGCCGUAAACGAUGAGUGCUAGGUGUUAGGUCCUUUCCGGGACUUAGUGCCGCAGCUAACGCAUUAAGCACUCCGCCUGGGGAGUACGACCGCAAGGUUG
rnacentral:rRNA from 1 species